UACGAAGGGUGCAAACGUUGCUCGGAAUCAUUGGGCGUAAAGCGCACGUAGGCGGCUUUGCAAGUCGGACGUGAAAUCCCUCAGCUCAACUGAGGAAGUGCAUCCGAAACUGCAAGGCUUGAGUACUGAAGAGGAUCGCGGAAUUCCCGGUGUAGAGGUGAAAUUCGUAGAUAUCAGGAAGAACACCCGUGGCUAAGGCGGCUCUCUAGUACGGUACUGACGCUGAGACGCGAAAGCGUGGGGAGCGAACAGG
rnacentral:rRNA from 1 species